UUUAGUUUGAGAUCAACAGAACAAGAACGUCGAGUGGUUAACACUUUCAUUCAAACUUUGAUUGAUGAUCCUAGUAGUUUGGCAGGACAGUUAGUUGACUCUUUUUCAGAUAUCAUAUCCAGCAAGAGGCCAAGAAAUGGUUUCUGUAGCAAGCUGUGGCAUUAAAUUAGGGCAGGGCAUCCAAAAAUACAGGAUUGCAAUUUUCUUCACGGUUAUUUUCCCCAUGUGACAAAUUACUUCUGAUUGAUUUGCUGCUCUUUGUACAGGCAUUUUUUCUUGAUCACUUUGGGGAAGCGAUUCAUUUAUGUUAUGGACUGGUUUGUCCA
rnacentral:misc_RNA from 1 species